AUACUACCUGGCACAGGAGAUACCGUGAUCACGAAGGCGGUUCUCCCAGGGCGAGGUCACCAUUGCACUCCGGGGGGUGCUGCCCCCUGCGAUUAACCCAAAUGUGGUUAACUCGAGUUGCGCAAUUUUUGUUAGUGGGGGACUGCGUUCGCGCUACCCCCCU
rnacentral:snRNA from 1 species